UUUAAAGUCUAACCUGCCCAAUGAAUUAUUUAAUGGCCGCAGUAUUUUAACUGUGCGAAGGUAGCAUAAUAAUUAGUUUUUUAAUUGAGAACUGGUAUGAAUGGUUGGACGAGGGAAUAGCUGUCUCAAUUUAAUUUUAAUUAGAAUUUUAUUUUUAAGUUAAAAAGCUUAAAUUUUUUUAAAAGACGAGAAGACCCUAUAGAGUUUUAUAUUAUAAUUAUAUUUAAUUUAUUAAGUAUUUGUAUUAUUUUAUUUAUUAAUAGUAUUUUAUUGGGGCGAUAUAAAAAUUUAAUUAACUUUUUAUUUUUUAUUUCAUUAAUUUAUGUUUAAAUGAUCCAUUUUUUAUGAUUAAAAGAUUAAAUUACCUUAGGGAUAACAGCGUAAUUUUUUUUUAGAGUUCUUAUCGAAAAAAAAGUUUGCGACCUCGAUGUUGGAUUAAAA
rnacentral:rRNA from 1 species